UGGGGAAUAUUGGACAAUGGGCGAAAGCCUGAUCCAGCAAUGCCGCGUGUGUGAAGAAGGCCUUCGGGUUGUAAAGCACUUUAGGCAGGGAAGAAAAAAUCGGCGUGAAUAUCGCCGGUCUUGACGGUACCUGAGGAAUAAGCACCGGCUAACUCUGUGCCAGCAGCCGCGGUAAUACAGAGGGUGCAAGCGUUAAUCGGAUUUACUGGGCGUAAAGCGUGUGUAGGUGGUCAAGAAAGUCGGUUGUGAAAUCCCUGGGCUCAACCCGGGAACUGCUUCCGAUACUUCAUGACUCGAAUUCGGUAGAGGGAGGCGGAACUCCAGGUGUAGCGGUGAAAUGCGUAGAUAUCUGGAAGAACACCAAUGGCGAAGGCAACCUCCUGGGCCUGAAUUGACACUGAGACACGAAAGCGUGGGGAUCAAACAGGAUUAGAUACCCCGGUAGUCC
rnacentral:rRNA from 1 species